UUGAAUGGUACCACAUGUAUAGUGAAUGAAAUGUAUGAAAGUGUUUCCCUUUCGUGCAGGUUAUUUGAAUAUUGAGUUCACAUUUAUAUGAUUGCAGUGCUAUGUGUUAAUUCAAUAAGACUGAAGAUAAAUACAGACUUGUGUUUUUAUGAGCGUCAAUGUUAUUUCUGUAAACAGCACAAACAAGGCAGUUUGUCUCUUCUUCAUCUGAAGUAGUUUCCAAGCCAGGUGCCAAGACAAUCACCCUUUUGGGGCAAGCUGUUCAAGAUCCGUGACCUCCGCUUACAAUAUGUACAUUCGCUGCUCAUCAAAUUGAACACUCUCCUUAUUGGCCAGAUUGAAUACGCAGGGCCCGCUACAAUGAUUUGAACCUCUGGCUGGCAGAAUGAAAUACCUCCAUCUUGGCUUCAGUCAAGCACGUCAGAUCAGUUGUGGGACCUCCCCCCACAACUCCCAGAACGCUGAAGACACUUUCUGCUUUUCUUCCACAGGUUUUCCAGCAUAUCCUCGCUUGCCCAACAGCCAAACUGCUGCUCUCCUCAAUCAAUGCUGCUACACAUGAAUUGUGUAAAACACAGGGAGUGUGUAUUGAUACGGGAAUUUUUGCAGUCAUCUACAUGAUGAGAUGCUUUUUCCCUCAGAGCAUCCGCAUGUUUAGGGAGUGGAAUUCCUCUCGGUUGAUGCAGAUAAGAACAUUUUCAGGGGUACGCAGUUUGUGUGAAGCCAAACUCAAUUUGAAAUUAAAACCUGAAACACUACAGACUUCGGCUGCCUUCGGAACUGUUCUCUCUCGGAGAAAUUAACAAAUAAUGAAGAAUGCACUUUGAAUGCCUCAAUCAACAUGCAUACUGGCCUCUGAACAAUCUCUGCUAGAAGCUUGGAUGGCCAAAGAAAAUUCAAGAGGAUUUGAUGUGAGAUUAAAACCCAGUGUUGCAGACGCCUCAUUACUUGCCAACAUCACUGAGAUUAAAACGCCUUUAAGUACCACACCAAUACAACGACACAGACCUUUUUACUGAAACACAAAAACAAAAUUGAGAAAAAAAGACACAAGGGAAAAACAAAAAAAAAAUUACAUCUACAAAGACUGCCAUGCCCCCUCCUCCACAGGAUGUAGGAAAUUGCUGCUCUAGAGAAAAGCUUCCACUAGGACAUUCUCCACACAACAGCCAGUGAUGUAAUACGCUGCAAGGACCCUGGAUCAAACAGUAUGUAUUCACCAAUCAGGAUUGACUUCGCAGACACCAGGUGCAUACAACCUUUGUAUACAGCACAGUAUUGGUAUCUGAUUCUGUACUUUGUUGUACUUUGACUACAAGACUGUAAAGUUGAUUUGAUAUUUUUCUGUACAAAGUUUAAAAAUGACAAAAUAUAUAAUGUAAAUUCUACUAAAUACAGGGUAAGAUAGGAUUUAGUGGCACAUGUAUAAAGGAUUUUAACAAAACGUUGCUACAUGCCAGAAAGCUUCAGAGUAGAUCUUCUGUUAUAUAUCAGGAAUGACAGUGGACAGACCAUGCAGGCAUUUUCAGUUUUUUAAAAAAACUCUAUGCUCCGACUGCUUUAUUAACUCCUGUCUGCUCCUGGGUUCAAACUGCUUUACAGGGCAAUAUUGAUACUGUUAACUCUAUCACUCAAAAGAACUGAAUUGGUAUAGGCAAGGUUCACUGGUGCUUGUGUUCCAGAUAACUCAUUUAUCCCUUUUUAUGGUAUGUCUGGGGUAUGCUGUAUUAGGCUGAAGCGCAAGCAUCUCAAUGUGUAUACAUGAAUAACACAUAGAAAAAGAUAACCUGUCUCUGCAUUGCUUUCAUUGGCCUUCGUCCAACUUAUUUCAGAUCAUGAGUGGAAUCUACUCUCUGACAACAGAUUUGGCCCAAAACUAAUCAAGAGCCGUGUUGACCUUCAACCCGAGAACUGAUCUUACCCAGCCCAAAAUGUGACCUGGUUCAAACCUGAGACACCAAAAGAACUCAUUCAUGUUCAACGAUCCCCAAGCCAACUAUUAAUCCUUAGAUGUAUUGGUUAGCUUACCUAUUGUUGUGGAUUUGAGAAUCGACACUCACAUGGGCCUUAACAUUUGGUGCUAAAAUUCAUAUAUGUAAUGUGCCACUGGAAAGAGGAGGUUUCAGAGAAUAUCUGGUCCAUGGAUCAGGCUGUGUGAGAGGAGUGGGACUGGGCUCACUGAUGUUAAUUGAGAAUUCAAUCAGUUUUUUUAUUUAAAUUCCUUUAUUUUCAAAAGGAAGUAACUUAUAUCAUGACAAAUAACUGCUCCAAGGUGAACUAGAGACAGAGAAGACAUUUUGCACAGUUUCAUGGCCAGCUCCAGUCUUUGUCCAAACUCCCUCUCAUUCAGAAUAUUGUUUCAUCUUUAGAAAUUCAAGAAAAUGAAAUGUGAAUUUAUCGAGUGUCUUCAAGUCUCAAGGAAUGAAUCCCAGCUACAAUCUAGACUGUGAUCCUUUUUUAAAAUCUCCCUUGAUUCCCACAGUGUCCAGGAGAGCAGAGAGGAGACAUAGGCUGGAUGCAGCAGAGGUGCUGUUUGAGGGUAUACCUUGAGCAGAAGGUUCGGUUGGGCUUAGCGUGUAUUUCAUUGCAUGGCCGCAUUUUGUUGGUGCUCAACCUUGGAGCAGUUAGAUAAGGUCAUUCAGGUAAUUCAUGUGACACAGCAUCCAUGUCUUCAUAAAUACUGCCCUAUUUGAGGAAAAAGACAAUAAUCUAUGUUUUGUAGCUCCAGCCUUGGUGGUUACCUUUCAUUUUAUAAGUGGCCUACCCACCUAAUGGCAGAUAUGUGGAGUAGUCUAUGGGCAAUACCUGAGCUUUGGUUUUCCAAACUUUGCUCAAAAUUACAAUCCUGAAACCCCAUGAAGAACCACAAUCAUCCCAACCGACAUCCAAAGCCCUGCUCAAGUUUUACCAGUCAUUGUGAUCACAGUGCACCAUUAGUGAUGACGGAAGCAAAUUAAAGUCUGAGUCCAAUUUCAUGGCAAAUACAACUAUUGAUCCUGUGUCUCAAUAACAUGGAACCAUUUCCAAUGUAAAAUGGAACUUCAGUCCAUCAAAAACAAAAGGCUUCACAUAUCGAUGACUUUAUGUACAUCUGAGAUAUCUUGGUGAGAAUUGGGGCUUGCACCCAUAUUUAUGUAACAUGAACCCUCAGAUUUCAGAAUGGGUGUGGACAUGCCUAUGGGAUUAAUUGUGCCUGAUACCAUAUUGCUCCACAUUGGAGCGCACAUUGUGUACAUCCAUCAGAAAUAUGUAGAGCAAGCAGGUCACAAUGCCAAUCAGCAUGCAACUGAUUUGAUACUAUCCAUUCCAUCUUGGAGUUUAGCACUCCACCUAAUGCUCUCUCUUAACCCAACCCUGCAGCAGCAGGAAGACAACGCACACUUUCCCCCAGCCCAACUUCACCAAAUCUCACUGUCCAACCUGCACAAUCAAUUGAAAGGAAUUAUCAACUAUUACAGGUUAGUUGCUGGUUUAGUUCUUCCAACUGUCAGCAUGAUUCUACAGGGGCUUGGGGUGCUUCCUUUUUAAUUAUUUCAAGUUGCAAUAGUCUACGGCAUGGUAGGUGCUGAAGGAAAUUUUACCAACUCUAAGACUCUUGCACAAAACCAGGCACUCCUGAACAUGAAUGCAGCAGGAUACUGGCCGUAAGAAUGCAGUAUAGCCCGAAUGGAGUCCAAACAAUGUAGGACAGAUUGCUGGAAGAGGGUGGGGAAGAGGGAAGGGAGCAAGGGCUCUCAACAGAAGGUCAUAGUCACCCCAGAGGGUGAGAGAGCAAUUUUCCUCCCUCAAAUUCAGCCAGGAACACUGUCUGAACUAUCAUAGAAAAUGUUCCUGCUCCACUAUUCAAUAUGAUCAUGGCUAAUCAUCCAAUUCAAUACCCUGUUCCUAUUUUCACCCCAUAC